AAGAGACAGCAGCAGCCGCGGUAAUACGGAGGGUGCGAGCGUUAUCCGGAUUCACUGGGUUUAAAGGGAGCGUAGGCGGGCAUGUAAGUCAGUGGUGAAAUCCCGGGGCUCAACCCCUGGACUGCCAUUGAUACUAUGUGCCUUGGAUGUUGUCGAGGUUUGCGGAAUAUGUCAUGUAGCGGUGAAAUGCUUAGAUAUGACAUAGAACACCGAUUGCGAAGGCAGCAGGCUAGGCAAAUAUCGACGCUGAGGCUCGAAAGCGUGGGGAUCGAACAGGAUUAGAUACCCGUGUAGUCCCUGUCUCUUAUAA
rnacentral:rRNA from 1 species